UACGUAGGGGGCGAGCGUUGUCCGGAUUUAUUGGGCGUAAAGAGCGUGUAGGCGGCCAGGUAGGUCUGCUGUGAAAACUCGAGGCUCAACCUCGAGACGUCGGCGGAAACCAUCUGGCUAGAGUCCGGAAGAGGAGAGUGGAAUUCCUGGUGUAGCGGUGAAAUGCGCAGAUAUCUGGAGGAACACCGGUGGCGAAGGCGGCAUCCUGGACCGGUAUUGACGCUGAGGCGCGAAAGCCAGGGGAGCAAACGGG
rnacentral:rRNA from 1 species